AACGAACGCUGGCGGCAGGCUUAACACAUGCAAGUCGAACGCGUGUAGCAAUACACGAGUGGCGCACGGGUGAGUAACGCGUGGAUAUCUGCCUUUUGGUUCGGAAUAACUCCGGGAAACUGGAGCUAAUACCGGAUGGUUCCUACGGGAUAAAGAUUUAUCGCCAAAAGAUGAGUCCGCGUACGAUUAGCUAGUUGGUGAGGUAAUGGCUCACCAAGGCGACGAUCGUUAGCUGGUCUGAGAGGACGAUCAGCCACACUGGGACUGAGACACGGCCCAGACUCCUACGGGAGGCAGCAGUGGGGAAUAUUGCGCAAUGGGCGAAAGCCUGACGCAGCGACGCCGCGUGGGUGAUGAAGGCCUUGGGUCGUAAAGCUCUUUUGCCAGGGAAGAUGAUGACUGUACCUGGAGAAUAAGACCCCGGCUAACUUCGUGCAGCAGCCGCGGUAAU
rnacentral:rRNA from 1 species